UAGGGAGACCUACCCUUGAUAACUCUGAACCAAUUUGAAUUAGGAGUAUCGAGCGGUCACUCUAGGUCGUUCAGGACUUUGAGUCAAGUUUCUAGACUAUGGUUGAGGUUUAUUUCUCAUUUUUUACUUUAUUAGCUAAUUAGCAACUAGUGAAACAGGAAGAGAUGAGGAACUAAACACGGGCUAUUAGCUCAGGUGGUUAGAGCGCACCCCUGAUAAGGGUGAGGUCCCUGGUUCGAGUCCAGGAUGGCCCACUUGUGGGGGUUUAGCUCAGUUGGUAGAGCGCCUGCUUUGCAAGCAGGAUGUCAGCGGUUCGAGUCCGCUAACCUCCACCAUGAAAGAUAGAGUCAGUUCAGCAUUUGAAUUCAGCACAUUGUGAAUUACUUGAUAGUUCAAGUGAGUUUAUAAUCUGCUGGGUGAAAGCCUAGCGAAGAACCUUGAAAACUGAAUAGAAGAGAAGUGUAAGGUAGUACACACAGAACAUUCAAAGUUCGUUGAGAGAAGAGUGAACUUGAUUAGUUUUUACUAAUUGAGUGAAG
rnacentral:tRNA from 1 species